CUUCCUGUUGGAAGGCGUUUCCAUUCUUGCUGGCUUCCAUCUAGAGGCGGAGACCAGCAGCCUCCUUCGAAAGCCUCUGCCAGUGGACAGUGACACCUCUGGAGGGCCUUGAGUGGAGAUGAUUUCUUCAUGUUCCACAUACUACGCUUGUUCAUGAGCAAGAUUCAACAUCCAGCUGGCACAGAUGGGAGCUCAGCUGAGGACACCACGGCCCUCAGACCUCUAGCAGCAACAUGUGCAUGUUUGGAGAUGCUUACCACCAUCCACUCCAGCCCAGUGUUUAGGGAGCUGCUCCCAAAGAUCCUCUGUGCUCUUCUGGAGCAAGUUGGCUGCACUGUGGGGCAGGACAUGCCAAUGCCCACAGGGAGCAUCUGGCAGAGGAAACUGCUGAAGGGGCAGGUGUGAGCAGUGGGCAACCCUUGCAGGCUUUCUAUGUGGAGACCAUGGCCUAUGCCAUAUCUAAGAGCCUUGGGAAGAGAGUGACUGCAGCCCUCUGCAAAGAGGGAACUUGGCCACUCCCUGAGAGCCCCCAGAUGCACCAGGAGGGCAUGUGCCAGCUGGCCAGCUUGUGACCCCAUCAUCGAAGAGCAGAAGCUCCUGAAGCCAGUGCUUCAUCUACUUCAACAGUGACCAGGGACUUUAAUAACCUGGUUCAGCAGAUGGCAGCCAAAGGACUGGCUGAAAAAACACCAGAACGUCAUCCUGGAGACCUUGUUCCAGGCAUCGUUUGUGCCUACCAAUGCUCAGAUCAUGCGGGGAGGGCAUGCACUCACUGGCUGCUGUCUUGAAUCAUCUAGGGACAGAUGCGGGGCUCCCUGGUUUGGGAUGUAGUCAUGUACAUCAGGACCUUCUUCAACCAUGUGAGUGAGCAGCACUCCCCACCCCCAUUCCAAUGCUCCUCAUUUGGGGCCAUUUCAGAGGUAGGAGAUGCACUUGCUGCCCCUUGUUCCAGUCCGAACUGGAAGAUCUUAAGUUCUGUGGAAGAGAUGAGUUUUCAGGAGGAAAAGCAAGUGAAGAGAACGGGAUGACGGGAGGGACUCUCGGGAGACUGGGCGAGGCUGCAGCUGUGGUCACGGGGCUCGGUAGGGUUCUGGUGCUGUUCUCCGCUGUGUUGAUUCUCCUGAGUCAGAAGCAGAGCUGGGCAGAGACAAGUGAGCACAGGGGCUGGGGGAUUUGGUUUUGCUGGGAUUCGGAAUCGGAGCCCCCAGUGACAGCAUGUUCAGGGAACGAGGCUUGCUGCUGCUCCCUGAGCUCCAGUGAGUGCACUGGCUCCUGGGCAGCCCACCUGGAACAGGAGCUGUCAGAGCCUACCUCCAUGGCAGACCACCUGACAGGCUGGAAACCAAAGGCUCCUGUCAGGAGCUGUGCCAGGCCCAUGAGAGAGAAGUUUGGUUGUGAGCACACUGGGGUUUUUCAGCCACAGGGCAAUGACAAUCUUCGCUCAAUGGCUUUCACCCUGUUCAGUGCCCUGGCAGGUUGCAUAAAGAGAAGAUAGCACGCUUAUUAUAGGAGUCAAGUGAGGCAGAGCUUGGCAAUGCUCCUGUUUCAUCUGGAGGACCCCAACCCGCAGAUGGCCAUGGAGUGCAGAACAACUUUGGGCCUCUGCUGCCCUUACCUGGGCUUAAGGAGGGUUCAGGCAGCCCUGGCCUUCCAUAUCCAGGGGUCAGAGCAGGUGAAAUGAGAGCAGCUGCUGCGGGACAUCUGCAGGCACUUGGCAUCAUUAUGGAGUAUGCUACCCCAAGGAGUGCCGAACGGAUAGAUAUUGCCCGCUUGCUGAGCUGUAAGUCAGAAAUCCAGCCCCUGUACUUCCCUUCUGGAGCCCAGAAGAAGCUGAGAAGCUACAGGGACUGACCCCUCCUGCUUUGGAGCCCAGUGCAUCUGCUCUGCCCUGAAAAUAGCCUAAGAGAGCCUUGCCCCAAGCAGGCUGCUCACAUUCCCCUGGUGCAGCAGGGAGAAGUUGAAUGCAUCUCCUGCCUGUCCUGCCCAGGCCCCUUCCCAGCCACAGCUGCCCAGGCUCUGGCCUCCCUUGGCUUCCUGGGGUCCCUCAGGCUGGGGAAAGUUGUAGCCAGUGCCACUGCCAAUCCUCCCCUGGGCAGCUUGUCUGUAGGGUCCCUUCAUCAGGUGCAAACCAACAUAAACCAGGCCUGUUCCACACUAGGCCUGAGUGCCCAGUUGCAUCCCCUUCCCAAGAGCUGCCAUUGCCAAGGUUUCUGGUGAGAGGCAGGAGAAUCUUGUCAUUGGAAGCUUCCUCCAUGGGCAGCAAAGCUGCUCAGUGCCCAGCAGAAUCAGCAUCUCCCCUCAGUUGGGAAUGCAGGAAGUUCCCAAGGGAGCAGCCACAGCCAUGUCUGUGUGGGAAAGUGUUUCUGAAUGUGUUUGACAAUAAAUUAUGUUCUGUGUUCUGAUUGUUGUUGCUUCUCUUCUCCUGAACACGGCAGAGAGAGAGGAGGGUGAAGCAUUGUAGCUUCGGGAGUGUGUGUCUGCUUGGUUUGGGCUUUAUGGUCAGGUUUGGGUAUCUUGCCUUUUGGUGGGGUUGUGUGGGCAGU